GUCCCAAUGAAGAGCAGUGGUUCUCUGUCCUGGUCCUGGGGUUUCAAAGGGAUACUGUACCUUGCAACUGGAGAUUCUUUCAAAACGAUUGCCUACAGUUACCGUGUUGGGUGAAUUGUCGUGAGCGUGACCAGGGCCAUCUGGGAUUUCCUCGUGGGGGAAUUCAGGCACGUGUGAAGGCUACCUGUGUCCUGCAUAACUUCAUGAGGACGGACACAAGGACCAGGAGGGGCCCUGCAGCCCCCCCGCCGUGUGCCAGAGGAGAGGUCUGCUGCUCUGCAGGAUGUUGCACGGAUGGGGGCCAACAACGCAGCAGGGGAGGAAAUCCAGACACUAGGUAUGUUUUGAUGUGAGAGAGGAUGCCAACCCCCAGUCCCGUCAUCGCCCACCUCACCCACUCGAAGAUAACCGGGGUGGCAGGUAGCCUAGUGGUUAGAGCAUUGGGCCAUAACUGAAAGGUUGCUUGAUCGAAUCCUGAGCUGACAAGGUAAAAAUCGGUUGUUCUGGCCCUGAACAAGGCAGUUAACCCACUGUUCCUAGGCCGUCAUUGUAAAUAAGAAUUUGAACUGACUUGCCUAGUUAAAUAACAUUUAAAAAUAUAUAUAUAAAAAAAAUGUUGGGCCAACUGGGGACCCAAGGUUGAUUAGGAGAUUGUGAUGACCUGAGAGAAUAUGAAGUUUAGUAGCACUGUAAUUCAUAUGCUGUCUUCACUGCUCCUCUGUUCUGACCUCUUUCCCUUUCUGUCUUUGACAUUAUCUCACGGCAGGUAGCCUAGUGGUUAGUGUUGGACCAGUUACCAGCAGGUAGCCUAGUGGUUAGAGUGUUGAGCCAGUAACCAGCAGGUAGCCU